ensembl:miRNA
CUGGUUCUGUAAGUCAGCUGCUCCAUCUGUGAAAAUGUGGAGCACCUGUACAGCACUAGUC